GGACAUCAGGAGGUUAGUGCAAUGGCAUAAGCUAGCUUGACUGCGAGCGUGACGGCGCGAGCAGGUGCGAAAGCAGGUCAUAGUGAUCCGGUGGUUCUGAAUGGAAGGGCCAUCGCUCAACGGAUAAAAGGUACUCCGGGGAUAACAGGCUGAUACCGCCCAAGAGUUCAUAUCGACGGCGGUGUUUGGCACCUCGAUGUCGGCUCAUCACAUCCUGGGGCUGAAGUAGGUCCCAAGGGUAUGGCUGUUCGCCAUUUAAAGUGGUACGCGAGCUGGGUUUAGAACGUCGUGAGACAGUUCGGUCCCUAUCUGCCGUGGGCGCUGGAGAAUUGAGGGGGGCUGCUCCUAGUACGAGAGGACCGGAGUGGACGCAUCACUGGUGUUCGGGUUGUCAUGCCAAUGGCACUGCCCGGUAGCUAAAUGCGGAAGAGAUAAGUGCUGAAAGCAUCUAAGCACGAAACUUGCCCCG
rnacentral:rRNA from 1 species